rnacentral:rRNA from 1 species
AUUGAACGCUGGCGGCAUGCCUUACACAUGCAGGUCGAACGACGUUACGGGGGCAACUCCGUAGCGAGUGGCGAACGGGUGAGUAAUGCAUCGGAACGUGCCCUCUUGUGGGGGAUAACCAGUCGAAAGAUUGGCUAAUACCGCAUGAGCUCGAGAGAGGAAAGCGGGGGAUCCGCAAGGACCUCGCGCGAGAGGAGCGGCCGAUGCCCGAUUAGCUAGUUGGUGGGGUAAAAGCCCACCAAGGCGACGAUCGGUAGCUGGUCUGAGAGGACGACCAGCCACACUGGGACUGAGACACGGCCCAGACUCCUACGGGAGGCAGCAGUGGGGAAUUUUGGACAAUGGGGCAACCCUGAUCCAGCCAUGCCGCGUGUGUGAAGAAGGCCU